rnacentral:rRNA from 1 species
GCACUCUGAAGGAACUGCCGGUGACAAGCCGGAGGAAGGUGGGGAUGACGUCAAGUCCUCAUGGCCCUUACGGGCUGGGCUACACACGUGCUACAAUGGCGGCGACAGAGGGGUGCGAAGGGGUGACCUGGAGCCAAUCCCGAAAAGCCGUCUCAGUUCGGAUUGCACGCUGCAACUCGCGUGCAUGAAGGCGGAAUCGCUAGUAAUCGCGGAUCAGCACGCCGCGGUGAAUACGUUCCCGGGCCUUGUACACACCGCCCGUCACACC